ACGGGGUGCAGCAGGCGCGAAAACUUUGCAAUGUGCGAAAGCACGACAAGGUUAAUCCGAGUGGUUUCUGCUAAAGGAACCUUUUGACAGUCCUAGAAACACUGUUGAAUAAGGGGUGGGCAAGUUCUGGUGUCAGCCGCCGCGGUAAAACCAGCACCUCAAGUGGUCAGGAUGAUUAUUGGGCCUAAAGCAUCCGUAGCCUGCUCAGUAAGUUUUCGGUUAAAUCUGUACGCUCAACGUACAGGCUGCCGGGAAUACUGCAGAGCUAGGGAGUGGGAGAGGUAGACGGUACUCGGGAGGAAGUGGUAAAAUGCUUUGAUCUUUCGAUGACCACCUGUGGCGAAGGCGGUCUACCAGAACACGUCCGACGGUGAGGGAUGAAAGCUGGGGGAGCAAACCGGAUUAGAUACCCGGGUAGUCCCAGCUGUAAACUAUGCAAACUCAGUGAUGCAUUGGCUUGUGGCCAAUGCAGUGUUGCAGGGAAGCCGUUAAGUUUGCCGCCUGGAAGUACGUACGCAAGU
rnacentral:rRNA from 1 species